rnacentral:rRNA from 1 species
AAGACCUUGCGCUUUUGGAGCGGCCGAUGCCUGAUUAGCUAGUUGGUAGGGUAAAGGCCUACCAAGGCGUCGAUCAGUAGUUGGUCUGAGAGGACGACCAGCCACACUGGGACUGAGACACGGCCCAGACUCCUACGGGAGGCAGCAGUGGGGAAUUUUGGACAAUGGGCGCAAGCCUGAUCCAGCAAUGCCGCGUGAGUGAAGAAGGCCUUCGGGUUGUAAAGCUCUUUCAGUCGAGAAGAAAAGAUUACGACUAAUAAUCGUAAUUCAUGACGGUACCGACAGAAGAAGCACCGGCUAACUACGUGCCAGCAGCCGCGGUAAUACGUAGGGUGCGAGCGUUAAUCGGAAUUACUGGGCGUAAAGGGUGCGCAGGCGGCCUUGUAAGUCAGAUGUGAAAUCCCCGGGCUUAACCUGGGAACU